rnacentral:rRNA from 1 species
GAGUUUGAUUAUGGCUCAGGAUGAACGCUAGCUACAGGCUUAACACAUGCAAGUCGAGGGGGCAGCAUGAAUAUUGGCUUGCCAAUAUUUGAUGGCGACCGGCGCACGGGUGAGUAACACGUAUCCAACCUUCCGGUUACUCGGGGAUAGGCUUUCGAAAGAAAGAUUAAUACCCGAUGUUGUGUAUCUUUCUCCUGAUUGAUACGCCAAAGGAUUCCGGUAACCGAUGGGGAUGCGUUCCAUUAGGCAGUUGGCGGGGUAACGGCCCACCAAACCUUCGAUGGAUAGGGGUUCUGAGAGGAAGGUCCCCCACAUUGGAACUGAGACACGGUCCAAACUCCUACGGGAGGCAGCAGUGAGGAAUAUUGGUCAAUGGACGGAAGUCUGAACCAGCCAAGUAGCGUGAAGGAUGACUGCCCUCUGGGUUGUAAACUUCUUUUAUACGGGAAUAACAUGAGGUACGGGUACCUUA